GUGAGGAAUAUUGGGCAAUGGGCGCAAGCCUGAUCCAGCCAUGCCGCGUGCAGGAAGACGCAUCUAUGGUGUGUAAACUGCUUUUGUACGGGAAGAAACACUCCCUCGUGAGGGAGCUUGACGGUACCGUAAGAAUAAGGAUCGGCUAACUCCGUGCCAGCAGCCGCGGUAAUACGGAGGAUCCAAGCGUUAUCCGGAAUCAUUGGGUUUAAAGGGUCCGUAGGCGGUUUAAUAAGUCAGUGGUGAAAGCCCAUCGCUCAACGAUGGAACGGCCAUUGAUACUGUUAGACUUGAAUUACAAGGAAGUAACUAGAAUAUGUAGUGUAGCGGUGAAAUGCUUAGAUAUUACAUGGAAUACCAAUUGCGAAGGCAGGUUACUACUUGUGGAUUGACGCUGAUGGACGAAAGCGUGGGGAGCGAACAGGAUUAGAAACCCGUGUAGUCC
rnacentral:rRNA from 1 species